GAGGAGCCCACAGGGCAAGGCAGUUCCAUUGUUGCAGCACCAACGAGAGCUCCUCGUUAGCAACCUGCUCUGGCAAGGAUUAGAAGUCAUCUGAGGUAUUUUGAACCUCUGUCUCCAGUCCACCUCUCUUGGGCUUCACCCCCUGUUAAAGAAAUAGACUCUCUUAAAGGGCCAACUCUCUGGCCUGAAGAUGGGCACUUCUCCUAUGCUCCAUGACCUGCCUGGUGCACUCCCAGUGCCUUUAGACUGGCAAGGUAAUAUAGGAGGCACUCAGUUCUUUGGAUCUGGAAAAAAGGCACCCAGAAAGGUCCUGGUGGGGGUUCAAUGGGCCUUGGUAAGGUAGGAUUUGGUUCAAUGAACUUGUGCCUGCCGGCCUCAGGUUUUGUCUUCCCCUGAUCACCAGCAUUAGAUAUAACCUGAAAUGUGGGCUAGCUGCUCUGUUGGUGAUACUGAGAUUCUGACUCAGUGCUGGACUCUGGGGCAGUAGCUAUAGGUGGGCUGAAGGAACAUUGCUUACCUAAUCUCCCAUCACCACUGUUGGUGUGAUGUGUUGAAUGGUUUAAUAUGUAAAGGUUCAUCAUUGUUCCACUCGAUGUGUAUGUCUUUAAGGGGCCAGAGAAAGGGCCAGAGCAAAAUAACGAGACCCAGCUUUACAGCUGUGAAACAUAGCAGGUGCUGCUGAGUUGUAUUGAUUAAGCUGUGUUGGUAAUUGGGUGUAGUAUAUAAGGAGCAGCACCUAGCUCUCCCAUUACCCUGGGGGAUGGGUUGGUGGUUGGGUCAUGUUUGUUUGUUAAUGUAUUUAGUGUAAAAGGAGUUUUUGUUUUUCUUAUUAAAACCUUGUUUAAGUUAUUUUUGAGUCCCUUUUUAAUGCAUGGUCUCCCCAGCAAGCUCUCUGCAGCGCUACCAUACUGCAGAAAGUCAACUGCACUGUCCAAUCAAGGAGAAGGGGAGAAUAAAUCUCAUUGCCAGAUUUGUUCUGUUGGUGAGUUUGCACCACACCAUCCACACUGCUGCCUAGCCCCUCACCUACCCACUACACCACAAGGACGGCCACCCUGUCCAACCAACUGCUACUGCUCUGGGGUCAUGACAGUGGACUGAUAGCUGCUGCUACUCUUACUAUUAGUCAUAUCUUUGGAACCAACAAUGGAAACCACUAGCACCAACAAUUGUAUGUCAUAAAGAAAGUAGUUUAGAAAACAAGAUGGAUUGAUCCUUUAUUAGGAUAAACUUGCAAUUACAGUCAAAGCAACUGCAUGAUUAGAGCAGGAAUGCUUCUUAAGGAGGCAAAAUUGCAUGUUGUAAUAACAGGCGCAUCGUUUUCUGUCCCUGUCAAAAGGUACAACAAAGGGGUGAAAAAAUAAAGAAAAAGAAUUGCAUAUCUGAUUUUUUGCAUGGACACUCAAAGAAUAUGGAGAUUUCAUAUCACAGAAGACGCCCGCUAGUGCUUUCUGCCAGAGGAACUAAGUAAUUCACUACUGAGAAAUCUACAGAAGACUGAAGCACAUCAAAGCAUCAUUAUUGUAAUGCAAAAAAGCAGCAAGAUACAGUAGUCCAAAUCUGCCAGGGC
rnacentral:lncRNA from 1 species